GCCUAACACAUGCAAGCCGAGGGGUAACAGGAAAGCUUGCUUUUGCUGACGACCGGCGCACGGGUGCGUAACGCGUAUGCAACCUACCUCAUACAGGAGGAUAGCCCUUGGAAACGAGGAUUAAUACUCCAUGGUAUCAUGAAUUCGCAUGUUUUUAUGAUUAAAGUAUUUCGGUAUGAGAUGGGCAUGCGUCCCAUUAGCUAGUUGGUGAGGUAACGGCUCACCAAGGCGACGAUGGGUAGGGGGCCUGAGAGGGUGGUCCCCCACACUGGUACUGAGACACGGACCAGACUCCUACGGGAGGCAGCAGUGAGGAAUAUUGGUCAAUGGAGGCAACUCUGAACCAGCCAUGCCGCGUGAAGGAUGACGGCCCUAUGGGUUGUAAACUUCUUUUAUAGAGGAAGAAACUUGUCUACGUGUAGACAACUGACGGUACUCUACGAAUAAGGAUCGGCUAACUCCGUGCCAGCAGCCGCGGUAAUACGGAGGAUCCAAGCGUUAUCCGGAUUCAUUGGGUUUAAAGGGUCCGUAGGCGGGUCUUUAAGUCAGUGGUGAAAGCCGACAGCUCAACUGUCGAACUGCCAUUGAUACUGGAGACCUUGAGUACAAAUGAAGUAGGCGGAAUGAGUCAUGUAGCGGUGAAAUGCAUAGAUAUGACUCAGAACACCGAUUGCGAAGGCAGCUUACUAACAUGUAACUGACGCUGAGGGACGAAAGCGUGGGGAGCGAACAGGAUUAGAUACCCUGGUAGUCCACGCCGUAAACGAUCAUCACUCGCUGUUGGCGAUAUACUGUCAGCGGCCAAGCGAAAGUAUUAAGUGAUGCACCUGGGGAGUACGCCGGCAACGGUGAAACUCAAAGGAAUUGACGGGGGCCCGCACAAGCGGUGGAGCAUGUGGUUUAAUUCGAAGCAACGCGCAGAACCUUACCAACCCUUGACAUCCUGUGCCACUACCAGAGAUGGUACGUUCCCUUCGGGGACGCAGUGACAGGUGCUGCAUGGCUGUCGUCAGCUCGUGUCGUGAGAUGUUCGGUUAAGUCCGGCAACGAGCGCAACCCACAUCUUUAGUUGCCAGCAGGUUAAGCUGGGCACUCUAGAGAAACUGCCCGUGAUAAGCGGGAGGAAGGUGUGGAUGACGUCAAGUCCUCAUGGCCCUUACGGGUUGGGCUACACACGUGCUACAAUGGCAGUGACAAUGGGUUAAUCCCCAAAAGCUGUCUCAGUUCGGAUUGGGGUCUGCAACUCGACCCCAUGAAGUCGGAAUCGCUAGUAAUCGCGUAACAGCAUGACGCGGUGAAUACGUUCCCGGGCCUUGUACACACCGCCCGUCACACCAUGGGAGUUGGUUCUACCCGACGACGCUGCGCUAACCCUUCGGGGAGGCAGGCG
rnacentral:rRNA from 1 species